rnacentral:lncRNA from 1 species
UGGAAGUGCACUCCAUUCUCUCUCUUGAGAGAGAGAGAGCAAUGGAUGCCAACAAGUAGUUUUUGUUGAUUAAAUUCUGUCACCUCACACUUUUGCUGUGCUCAAAAAUCAUCCUGUCUAGAUUUUUAGGAUAGCACUCAAAUGUGUUUAACUUUAUUCAGGCAAGCAGUUAAAUAUUUUUUAACUUUUUAAGGCCUGUGGCUCAGUGACAGAGCAUCUACUUUUCAUGCAGAAAGCCCCAGCGUCAAUACCCAGUCUCUUCCGGUAGUGCUGAGAGAGACCCCUGCCUGACACCCUGCAGAACAACGCUGAGCUUGAUGGGCUUCAUAUAAGGCCCCUGCCUAUGCCCCCAUGUUAAUCUGUGGACAGCCCUGAUUUUGGUGUGUGGACAGUGGCCUCUCCGCCUUACAAAAACGCAGCUGGUGGGGACCGCUUUGUCAAGGAAGGCUUUGCAGUUUUAAACAGCCUUUUUUUAUUACCAUGGCCAUAAAUAGCAAACCGCCCCAAAUAUUACUAGGGGUUUUUUUUGUUGGCUUUGACCAAUGAAGUAGAACAAGACCUCUGAAUACCCCAUUAGUUCCAGUGCUGCGCUUUGACGACUCUGCACCGGCAGCUCUUUUUCUAUAUAAGUCACUUGCUUCACCCGAGUCUCUUAACAAAUACUGUUGACAGGCACCAUUGCAAUUUUUCUGCAUGUUCUGACAGUUUAAUUCAGUACCUCCUGGCUAAGCAGCCUGAGCCUGAGGGGGUAAUUCAGUGUGUUGGCAUUGCGCUGCUGCAAUUAAGAUAAUUAAGGGAGCUGGGAUGGGUUGGCAAAGCUUUCCUCCUCCUGCAGCUUUGAGAGAGAAAGAGAGAGAGAGCACUUUCCAGUCCCCACAUGGGAUGCACACAGGCUCCCCCUUUGGGAUAGAGGGCAGCAGAAUUUAUUAUUAACAAGAUGUUUACUUCCAGGUAUCAAAUUGAUUUGUAUUUUCCCCUAAUUCACAUAACCUCCCUCUUUCCUUAUGUCUGAUAUGAUUUCUUGCUUAGACAUCAUGGACUACUGCUUGGCCAUGCAGAAUGGGUUUAUUUAGCCCCCUAACCACCCAAAAGCUGUUUACUUCAGCUGCUUGCUGGAGACUACUCAGUGAUCUCUUUAAUUAUCACUAUUAGAGUGAUAAUGAUUCAAGAGCAAAUAUCAAGAACCUUGGCACUUGCUUUCCUCUCCCUAGCACAGCGAUAAACAGGCACAACCAACAGAAGGCACCCUAUUUGCAUCUUUUAAAAGCCCUUUUUAGAACUCCACAUGAAGAGAGGAGGAAAAUUGCUAGGCGGUUAAAAAUAUUGCCCUAAAGAAUUUAUCCUAUAACCCAAUUUUGUGUUGUAAAGGAAAUGUAGCUUAUUCACAGACAUUUCAUCAAGAAUGUAACACCAUUCAUGUUCUCAGUGACAAGCAAGAGAAUUAAUGCAGGUGAAAGGAAGUUAAAAUGUUCUCAUAUCCAAGCGUGCUUCUGAGGAAUUGUAAGACUUUUCACAAGUACACUGUGAAAUCCUCUGGUGGUGCAGAGGUUCCUGUUCUCACUGUUGCUGCAGUUGAUUCAGCUGAUUUAUAUAUAGAAUCUUAGAGUUGGAAUGGAUCCAGGGGUCAUCUAGUCCAACCCCCUGCAAUGCAGGAAUCUCAACUAAAGCAUCCAUGACAGAUGGCCAUCCAGCCUCUGCUUAAAAACUUCCAAGGAAGUAGAGUCCACCACCUUUUGUGGGAGUCUCUUCUACUGCCGAACCACUCUUAUUGUCAGAAAGUUUUCCUGAAUGUUUAGUAGGAAUCUCCCUUCUUGUAACUUGAAGCCAUUGGUUCUAGUCCUACCGUCCAGAGCAGGAGAAAACAAGCAAGUUCCCUCUUCCAUGUGACAGCCCUUAAGAUAUUUGAAGAUGGCUAUCCUACCUCCUCUCAGUCUUCUUUGUAGGGACUUCGCUUGUUCUCCAAGAACUCUCAAAGAUCAUAGACAAUUUUAUAUUUCUAUAAAAUAGUUUUAUCCCAUUUGUCAGCUGAAAAUGCUCCCAGAGUGUCUUGGGUGGUGCCUUCAGCCUUGCAAUCUGAAAGACAUGACACAAAAGGAAUAGGGGAUGGGGAGGGAGGAGAACAGGGGAAUUGAAGUAUCAGUUCUUAAAGGUACAGUUCUUUUAAAAAGCAGCUGGUGUUAAAAAUAAAAUUAUUUACCUAGAGCAUUUAUUAUGCUUUUCUGUGUAUGCGUGCAAAGUGGUUAUAUGUAAAUUAAAAAUGACUCCAUACAACAGCUUUAAUAAAAUGCACUUGCGAGCCUCCAAGGCAAACACAGUUGACUAUCCUUGCACUGCACCCCACCAGGAAAUUGAUAAAUCUGUGGAUUUUGCUGCUUGCUUUGGACCACAAAACAAUGGAAGGGGUUGUUACGCACUUGGCAGACUGCAAUGCAUGACUGGUGGUGGUGUUUAGGCUGGCAGCUCACAAGCUGCAUAGGCCUGGCUGAAUCUCCACCUCUUCCUGUUUGUGAGAGUGCUUUCUGUGUCUGAGAUGGCUUCAAGUUUCUGCAUUUCUAGGCAAUGGAAGACUGAAGCCAUCAACAUUCCUGCCUUCCUGCCUCCUUUGUUUCAUGUGAUAUCUGAGAAGGGCACCACAAAAUAAGAAGCAGCAGUGUGAGCCUAGCAGUCUUCCAGCAGGAGAGGACAUAUUUAAUCAACCCCGGUCAGCCUUGGAAAAUUUGAAAUGUUUAGCAAUGUGGAGUCAUUUGGAAGUUAACCACAAUUUUGCCCCUGUGUUUGCGGGGAAAGAAGAGGGGGUGGGCAUUUAAAACUGGUGCUUGACGUUGAUACAGAGUCCGUUACUUUUUCUUGACUCAACCUUUCCCUCAGUUUUUCAGAAAGUGUUAUGUCCCAAAUUACAUCAUACCAUUUUUGUAUGUUUAAAUCCUUUGCCUUU